CUCUUAGAAAGAGGCUUUUUGGGUUGGGCAAGAGGGAUUCGAUGGUGCAGACUAAGGUUAAGUCGGGUUGGUUCUUUGUCCGAUCCGAACCAAACCAAUUUGCAACCUACCUUUGGGUGAGAGUAGUGGUCAUACGUCCCAUGUCUGGUUCUAUGGGGCUCCUCCCAAGGUUGCGGCUUUUGCUUGGCUAGUGGGAAGGAAUAUGGUGCUUACAAUUGACAAUCUGCAAAAAAGGUCAAUGACGAUUCCCAGACGCGGAGUUAGUGCAUUUGUACAUCUAUUGUGUGUUUGCUCAAGUGUCAAAGAGAUUUCCUGCCUUCUUUAAAAGGUCAUGGGUGAUGUUGGGAUCCUUUAACGGCCUCUUCCUUGCUUGGCAUGGGGGAGGGGUUGGGGAAAAAAGAAAGAGUGGUGCUGACGUUAGUUUUGUUGGUUGUAAUUCGGGCUCUCUUUGCAACAAGAGGAAUAAUUGGUGUUUCGGAAAUAGAAGCAGGACGGUAGUUGAUGUCCUUAAGAGGGUGAAGUUAGAUGUAAUAGAUUGGGUUUAUUGUAUUAAAGCCUUCAACCAUAGUGAUGAGUCCUUUAGUUGUUUUAUUUCACCUUCCUUUUGGCAAUCUCUUUAAUAAAAUUUUUGUUUCCUUUCAUAAAAAAUAAUAGUAAAAAAAGCAUCCAAAGAGAAACAAAAAUCUUAGUUGAUGGGGAUGUUUUGACUGUCCUUAAGAAGUUGGGCGCCUACUUUUUUUGUCUUCUCUUGACAAUUUCCUGUUUCUUUUCUCUAAAAAAAUGUCUUAAGUGUUAUUGUAGUUUUGGGUUUGGUGAUAUUUCUAUAAAUUAUUGGACAUUUCUUUUAACUAUCAUCUGUUGUAUUUUCCAGGGGAGGGCAUAACCCAUCGUAUAUGUAUCGGCUCAUUGCGGACUAUUACUCUGCUGAUGAUCUUGUUGUGCAGCAGAGAUCUUCUGAAAAAUGAAUUUAGUACACCCAGAUCCAGUAUACAUUGAGUGCAGCCCGUGGCCAAAUAUUGUUGGAGUGGAGAGGUUUUUUUUUUUUUUGGAAGAUGAGGAGAGUGUAGAGCUUAGAGGCUGAAGACGAGGCAAGACUUGUGAGCUUAUGCUAAAGAAGUGAAGGGAAAAGUUGCCUUGGGCUGGAAAAGGGGGGAAAAGAGAAGCCAGUAAAAGAGAGUAAUUGCACGUGGAUGAAAGCACAGCGUUGCAUCAUUUUAGAAACUUAGUUGGUUUCUGUAGUUGAAUGCCGUCACUUGGGUGAGAAAAUUUGAAAACUGAAUCUGCCCAUGUUUACUUCUUAUCUGUAACCUUCCGUUGUGAAUGAAGUGAUUGAAUAUUGAGUUUUGGGGAAAAGGAAAUGGGGAUUGUAUAUGCUAACAUUAUUCCAUGAAGAAUGCAAUACUGUUUUUUUGUUCCA